AUUGAACGCUGGCGGCAUGCCUUACACAUGCAAGUCGAACGGCAGCACGGGUGCUUGCACCUGGUGGCGAGUGGCGAACGGGUGAGUAAUACAUCGGAACAUGUCCUGUAGUGGGGGAUAGCCCGGCGAAAGCCGGAUUAAUACCGCAUACGAUCUACGGAUGAAAGCGGGGGACCUUCGGGCCUCGCGCUAUAGGGUUGGCCGAUGGCUGAUUAGCUAGUUGGUGGGGUAAAGGCCUACCAAGGCGACGAUCAGUAGCUGGUCUGUGAGGACGACCAGCCACACUGGGACUGAGACACGGCCCAGACUCCUACGGGAGGCAGCAGUGGGGAAUUUUGGACAAUGGGCGAAAGCCUGAUCCAGCAAUGCCGCGUGUGUGAAGAAGGCCUUCGGGUUGUAAAGCACUUUUGUCCAGAAAGAAAUCCUUGGCCCUAAUACGGUCGGGGGAUGACGGUACCGGAAGAAUAAGCACCGGCUAACUACGUG
rnacentral:rRNA from 1 species